UGGGGAAUAUUGCGCAAUGGGGGAAACCCUGACGCAGCUACGCCGCGUGGGUGAUGAAGGCCUUCGGGUUGUAAAGCCCUGUCCGUGGGGACGAAUACUGACGGUACCCACGAAGAAAGCACCGGCUAACCCUGUGCCAGCAGCCGCGGUAAUACAGGGGGUGCAAGCGUUGCUCGGAAUCACUGGGCGUAAAGCGUGCGCAGGCGGAACGUUAAGUCGGGUGUGAAAUCCCGGGGCUCAACCCCGGAACUGCAUUCGAAACUGGCGAUCUUGAGUGCGGCAGAGGUGAGUGGAAUUCCUGGUGUAGAGGUGAAAUUCGUAGAUAUCAGGAGGAACACCGGUGGCGAAAGCGACUCACUGGGCCGACACUGACGCUCAUGCACGAAAGCGUGGGGAGCAAACAGG
rnacentral:rRNA from 1 species